ensembl:lncRNA
GUAAUAUGAGAGCACAAGUGGCCUGAGCUGGAAAUCAUUCUCCCCUCCCACCGUUGUCCUGUCUCUGAAGGUCACAUUCACAUCUCUGGAACCUCUGGAAAAUUUUUCAAAACCCCAAAAUUUUCCUAAGUGCUGACUUAGGGAGCUGGAAUUCUUGAUGAACAUUUAUAGAACUUUUCCACAGGUUUCCUAUUCAUGUGGUGAAACAAUCAAUAUGGAUGAAGUGAUCGUAUAAAGCCCUGAUUCUUGCCUCGUUACAAAAUCACCACCUCAGCUACACACACAGCCAGCACACCUGGGGCCUCACAAGGUAUCUGGGGAGAGGAGGCUGUUUAGGUUCUGGGUGUUGACUCCUAUUGCAGCUGGCUGGAAUGACGGAGCAUCUCCUGACAGGGUUCCACUUCAGCAGAAGCCACCGCUCAUAAAUUCCUCUUACGACCUUCCAGAAUUAUCCAAUGGAGAGUACUGAGUUCUUGCGGCAACUCACAUUUGGUUGGGAACACGUUAAGAAGGCAUUUGUCUGCCUAAUGACCUGCAAGCAGGAAGGAUAUUCUGUGACCUUACUUUGUUCUGUUGACCUUCCCUGGGGACGCCUCACCCGAGGACAGUGGGCGCAGAGGGUGCUGCAGAAGCUGUAUCACCUUCAUUCUCUGCUAGCUUCAUGGUCUACAUGGGACAGCCCUUCAGUCUAUUAUUUUACAGUUGUAUUUGUGCCACGGGUAUUUUUCAAGCGCUUCUUAUACCUGACUGAGGCCAUGGGCUCUGCAGGUGAGGGUU